UCUUCCGUAGUAUAGUGGUCAGUAUAUGAGCUUGUCAAGAUCUCUUCGGAGACUCGCCAUCGCUCGGGACCCGGGUUCAAUUCCCGGCGGGAGAG